rnacentral:rRNA from 1 species
GACGAACCGUGCGAACGUUAUUCGGAUUUACUGGGCGUAAAGGGCGCGUAGGCGGCCACCGCAAGUCGACUGUGAAAUCUCCGGGCUUAACCCGGAAAGGUCAGCCGAUACUGCGGGGCUAGAGUGCAGAAGGGGCAACUGGAAUUCUCGGUGUAGCGGUGAAAUGCGUAGAUAUCGAGAGGAACACCUGCGGCGAAGGCGGGUUGCUGGGCCGACACUGACGCUGAUGCGCGAAAGCCAGGGGAGCGAACGGG